rnacentral:piRNA from 1 species
UCCAAACCCUAACACAGCACACCCUUCUGGCU